GGAACUAACCUUUCCCCUCUCUUAUAACUGUCCGAAGAACCCCCUAUCCCCCAAAAAACCCCUCGCUUCGUCUCUCUAAAAAAUUCCCAUACACUCUCUGAAACUCCGCCCUAAACCGCCGCCGGGAAUCGCCUCAAGGCGGCGAAACUUCUCCAAAUGAACCCAAAUUUUCACCAGUUAACCCCCGCUGCCUCCUCUAUCCAAAUCCCCAAAUCAAUUCCCUCGAAUUACUCUCAAAAGCCUCGAAUUUCAAAUCUGAGUUUCAACCUAGAAACCCUAGUUUACCCAAAUCACCCCAAAAUCAUACCCCAUAGUCCUCACACCCCUCUGAACCCUAAACCACAACCAAUUCCCCAAAAACCCUAGCCAAUUUCUUCGAAUUUCCAAUCUGAGCUCUUGUGCCCUUCUUCUUUUAGUCAGAGUUAUGGCAUUUGAACCCCAAACUUUCAUUAGCCGACUGUUCUUGUUGAGAACAGUAAUGUCAGUUCAAUGUUCAUAUUACCCAUUUGCUUCAAAGUUUGGUCAAGACUUGUUUUGUUUGGCUUUGUUUGGUCCGUAUGGAAACAAGUUUGGUAACUCUUUUUGCCUAUCUUUUCUCUUUUCCUUCUCUGAGAAUCCCUUUUCAUUUCCUUUCUUUUAUGUUUAGUAGCAUGUUUUAGGUUUUUUUUUCUUUUCAGAAUCUUCUGUUUGUUUUUCUUUGCAUCCAGUAAUUAGUUUAGUCAAAAGCAUAUGAAAAUUUCAUUGUAUAAGGAUUGUUUGUAAUUGCAUAAAUUUAGUUUAAUCCUUAGGGUCGAUACAUGAAAUGAGCUUGCCUGUUUCUCCAUUUUUUCCUCUUGGGUUCAGUAUUGGUUUAGGAGCAUUUUUAGCCUAUCUUUGCAGCCCUAUGUUAAUUUCGUUUGAUUACUGAUACAUUAAUCAUUGAACUUUAAGCUUUGUUUAGGUUUAAUUUAGAUAAACUUUUUGUCUAUCAAUUAGGUUAAUUUUAAUUUAAAUUGCAUCAGCUCUCUUACCUUUAUUUCUGUUAACAUCUUUUGCAUCUUUUGAUUUGUUUUGAUUGUGUUUGACCUGAUUUGAAAAUCAAUAGAAAUCUUAGGGACCUAAUUGAACUAAAAGAAUUUAGGUUAAAGAUGAAAUAUGCAGUAACUUAAAGGGUAAAAUUGGACUUUCACUUAGGCUAAAAUCAGAAGGUUCUAGUAUUUAGGACAACUGUCCCUAUCCUUAGCAAAAUGCUAAUAUUGGAUAAGAAAAAAGGACAUACAGCUGUCAAAAGAUGUUGUACUAUCCUAAAAAUUCAAAAUAUUAGGUUAGAAUAUGUCUUUUUGAUGCUCUUUUGGUACACUCUAUAAGAAGAAAAUAUUCCUUCACUCAUAUACAGACAUUCGCCAUUAUUUGCCUGCAUAAAGGCUUUGAAAAACACAUCAAAUUUUUAGAAACCUAAAGAGCACAAAAAUUUUUUAGCUAUUGUUUCAUUGAAAGCUGAUCGAUUUCCUUGCUGAUUUCGACAAAAGUUAGAACAAGUUUUGCUCUGAAAUUUCUGGAUUCUUAAGUUGCAAGAUGGCUUGAGUUUGAAUGCUGUGAUAUUGCUGGUUUUUGGCUGUUUAGUUUUAUUGAUUUUUGCUCUGUUUUUGCUGCUUUUUCUCCUUGAAGAUUCACAACCUUGUUCUUAUUCUUUGUAACUAGGUAUAUCUUGAGCUUUGAAACAUGAAUAAAAGUUUGUUUUGAAGAGUGUCUUGCUGCCAUGAAGCCUUGGAGUUCAUAUUUACACAUUUUGUUUCUUCUUGAUGUUUUACCUUUAAGUCAUUUGAAUACUGCUCUUUUGGCUUUUCUUAUUAGCUUAUGUGUAGUUACCUUAAAGUCUUGUAGUGAGGAUUCAUAAAAUAACUAGGAUAUUUAGUGUUGAUAGGGUGUGAACAACACCUCUUGCAUAUGCUGAGUUUAGGUUGAGUAGUCCAGUUCUAAAAGAAAAAAUGUUUACUUUCAGUAUUUUGCUACCUCCAUGUGAUUCUGUCCAAUAUUUUUACUGAUUGUUAAUAGGUGAGCUUUCCAUAAGUGUUGGGUAUGGUCAAAACUAGGCUAUGAUUGAUGUGUAAGUACUUUUGGAUGAAGUGUUCAGCAUUACUACAAAUGUGUAAAAUGAUUAUAUGCUUUUGCUGCUUCAUGUUGAAAAAAUGUUAUAGAUAGCGCAACUUAGAACUUAUAACAUACAAAUAAGGUGUUCAAAUUCUAUAGUAAAGUUCAUGUAAAUAACUAUCUUCUAUUUCGAGUAAAGUAUCUCUGUUCUUUGAUGGUUUAUUCUUGAGUUAUCUCUCUGUACGAAAAACUUUGUAAUACUAAACACCCUCGUGUAUGUGGAAGCCUUGGACAUAACAGGGCUAAAAGUCAAUAUUUCAUUUUUUAGGCUUGGUCUCAAGUUAGCCAUCUUAGAGGUUCGUCGUUAAAAAGGACUUUCUGGCCUAUAUGGUAGGCCAUUUGUGCUGUCAUUUUGGGCUUCAGUCUACGCCCACAUCAUGCUAAUCUAGGGCAAGCCCAGUUUUUUUUAAAAGAGGAAUUAUAUUGAAUUGGUCGAAAUGUUUUACAUCAUAUAAAGAUUUACAUGUCCACUCAAAAAAUGGUUUCUAUAUUUAUUAUCUUUAGAAGUCUACUUUCAAUGGGGAAAAAGUAGUAGAUCACCUAAAGCUUCGUUUCAUACCAAUGGACAGUGAUAUUAAUAUGGUCUUUUCUUUAAGUUCGUAACCUUUUUUCUUCCUUUAAUAGUACAAGUUUUCACACGUAAUCUCAAUUUUAGGCAUUCAAAUACUCCUUAAAUUCGUAGAAGCUUUAGGAGUGUGGUUUAAUUUAUUAUCGUGAUUGUGUACACGUUCACGUGACAUGAUUAUGAUCCUAAUAACAAAUUCGAGGUGUGCUAUACACAACAAAAAUCCAUAAGCUAUGGCUCUCACAUUAGUAUUACUUAGAUAUUUAACAAUCCUAAAUAAUCAUAGUUUGCUUUAGGCUCGAUUUAGACUAGUAUUGUGAUUAUGUAUACGUUUGCGUAACAUAAUUACAAAUUUAAUUCUAAAAAUAACUCGAGGUAUGCGUUCGCGCAACUUCAACCAAACUUUUCUUAAUAAAAUAAGCAAAGCGUUAUUAAUUGUGGACACGUUCGCGUGACANNNNNNNNNNNNNNNNNNNNNNNNNAAAUCAAGUGAUUAAAAGCAGUAAAAGGUAAAUACACAUAGGUUCUAAAAAAUAAGUAAUUAGACAACUUAAGCCAAGUAUAAAUUGCUAAGUGACCAUGCUAGAACCACGGAAUCCGAGAAUGCCUAACACCAUCUCCCAGGUUAACAAAAUUCCUUACUUAGAAUUUCUGGUUCGCAGACUUUUAAAUAAAGUCGAAAACUUCCUCGAUUUGGGAUUUAAAAUAAAUCGGUGACUUGGGAUACCAAAUAAUUUAUUCCAAGUGGAGACUCUGAUAAAUUAAUUAAUCUCAUGUCGAUUUAUGUCACUUUAAUUGGAAAAACUCCCAUAUACCCUCAAAGUAUAAAAAAAGAGGUGUGACAGCUCUGGCGACUCUGCUGGGGACAAGAACCCAGAACUUCUGUUUCAGGGUUCAAGAAUGCGAGCUUGUUAAAUGUGAUUUUAUUUGGCUUUAUUUUCGAUAUUACUGUAUUUGGUGGGUUUAAUGUGCUAAUUGCCAUUUAUUUACCGCUUUGAUAUUUCUUGAACUGUAUUUAAAUGUCUUCUUAAGCCUCCCUUCCGAGUCUUCUAAAAAGCGGUGCUCACGUUCGCGUGACCCACUUUUCUGUUAGAGUUAUACCAAAUAGAACAGGGUUGGUCAAGCAAUAAGGCUAGGCAGACUUUCGUGCUCCCGGUACGUUGCCCCCUCCUCGACUCGAGUUUGUCCGCUUGGGUAAGCCAGGUUUAGAACACAACCCAACGUUUAAACUUAGAAUAACAUAACCUCAUGCCAGAUCCCCAGUAGGAACGUUUAUUUGCAUCACGUGCAUUUGACCUUGGGGACUCAACAUAGGGGUUGGGUUCGUCUAGGACAAGUGUACCCAAAAUAAAAACCAUCCUGAUGCAUCCUACAUGCUAUGUGAAUAUUUAUUAGCUUGCAUGUUGUCUAGUUAGGAAAAGGAAACAAAGAGAAAAACCAAGAGUGAGAUAGGAUAGAGAAUUUACCCGGUUCUAAAAAUCCCAAUAUUUGAAAAUGUCUCGAAACUCUGCCAAAAUUUUUGAAAAAAAAAGUGAAAAAAGGAAAAUGUAUUUCAAAAAAAAGUGUUAGUCAAAUAUCAUAUUUUUUUAUGUCAAAAUUGAUCGAACUACGCAGGUCUGAUUCUCACCGGAUGUGGGAUACGUAGGCAACCCACAUAAGGUUCGGCCUCAUCUUUUUACAAAAAAAAUGAUCAAGUAAAGUGUAGUUUAGGGCUUUGGUCAAAAGAAUAAGUCGACCCAGCUUCGGUUGUAUUUUUAAGUCGUUCUUACCGGAAUAGCCUUAGAUUAUCUUUUAAUUGUCGAAAGGCUAUUUUCGGGAAGAACGAGCCAGUCUGUCUGUAAGGUGUCUUUUUCCAUAAAAUACUUUCCCCCGGCCUCAAAAUUUAUUUGGAAUUGUGAAGGGGCCACAUUUACAAAAACGACCAUUUUUACUAAAAGUAGAAUAAAAGGGGUCUUUGUCCGUUGAUUUUCUUUAGAAAUUGAAAACUUGUUUUGCAAAAAGAGUCCACAAGAGUCAAUCCUAACCUUAACCCUCCACAGGUACAAAUGAAUACUGUCCAGAACCCGUCACAAAUGAAUACUGUCCAGAACCCGUCACAAAUGAAUAUUAUUCAGAACCCAUCACAAUUGGUCAUAGAAUAGGCUCAGCUGCAGCUUCGCAUGUGGUGGAAUGAUUUAGAUAAAGAUGGCUAGGAUUGGGUGAAAAAGCAGUUGGGUUCCCUUAUAGACAUCAUGAGCAUCGAACCCCGGGAGGAUUUAAUCAAAGCCUUGGUAACCUUUUGGGAUCCUGUCCACAACGUGUUCCGUUUCUCCGAUUUCGAGCUCACCCCUACUCUAGAGGAAAUGGCCGGAUACAUUGACUUUGGCCAAGACUUGAGGAAACAACAACUCAUAUUCCCAAGGGCUCCCUCUGUGCACAAGUUCUUCGAUCUUCUGAAUAUUAGUAAAAAAAUGAAGAAGGCUCAUGUAAGCAAAGGAUGUUGUUCUUUCUACUUCUUAUAUGUCAGGUUUGGGCAUUUAACUGGGUUUGAAACACAUAAAAAAGGGUUAAACAACAAACAAGAUAAGAGCACCUGGAAAAUUCAUCGUUGGUUCGUGUUUAUUGUGGCGUUUUUGGGGAUCAUGGUCUUUCCAAAUGCAGAAGGGACAAUAGACACUUGCAUGGCCAGAAUUGAACAACUCCUCACUACCUAGGAAGAUCACACGCUUGUUUCGUUAGUACUGGCAGACAUUUAUCGAGCAUUAACAUUGUGUAAAUCCGGGGCUCAAUUCUUCGAGGGUUGCAACAUUGUUCUUCAAAUAUGGUUGAUCAAACAUCUCCGCCAUCACCCCAAGUUCAUGAGUUACGAUGUGGAUGGGAACAACUUCAUAAAGAGUUAUGAAGAGAGGGUGAAAGAUUACAAAACUCUAGAAGGUUUUGAGGCUUGGGUUUCCCACUUAAGGACUUUAAAGGCAAGUCAAAUUGAAUGGAUUCUAGGGUGGCUUCCAAUAAUAGAAGUCAUAUACAUAACAUCUUCAAAAGGCUACUUGAUGAUGAUGGGCCUGAGGAGUAUCCAACCAUAUGCACCACAAAGAGUUCUAAGGCAACUGGAAAGGUAUCAAGUGGUACCCGAAGAUGUAGAUUUGAGUACCCAAGUCAUUGAGCUACACCCAGAAGCAACACUGCCUGAGGCUUUAGUCCAACGGGAUUAGAAUGGAUGCUGAUAUCUAAAAAUGACAUCCAGGUACCGGAUCUUGCGAGAGGGGAAGUGGAUCCAAAUUAUGAUGCGUGGUUUGAGAGAAGGUUUUGUGCAAAUAAUGAGCCCGAGCCUGAAAGGCCCGCCAAGAGAUCUCAUGUUCAAGCUUUUGAUGAUAAAAUUCGGGAAAGGCUGGCCUGGGGAGAGAAGGAGAAAAAUAUCAAGCCACCAUUCACGCUUUGCAAGAAGAAUUGAGAAAUGAGGUAUUCAAUAAUGAUCUACAGGCACAAGAAGUUGAAAGUGAAAGAAGAAGGUAGGCCUAAGAAAAUGAAGCUCUCUAGGCCCAAGUUCGAAAAAUGAGAAUAGCAGCUGAGAACUCGGGCAGAAGCAGGAAAGAUGAAAGGCUCAUCUACAACCUUACGCAAAAAGUGCGUGACUGUGAGGAUGAUUUGCAAAAGACUGAGUCUGAGCUAGUAAAAGUACGAACGAAGUUGGCCAAAAAUGCAGAAGAAUUCGUUCGACAGUUGAAGGAAAGAUAUGACAGAAGGGGUCAUGGGCUGGAAAAAAGGAGCUUAAUAGCCUUGAGGGUGAAAUGACUAAACAAGCCAAGAGCUUCAAAGCCGAGAGAGAACAUUGCUAUGCUUUGAUGGCACAACUAGAGGGAGACCUAUAGCAUUUGCAAGAACAGAAUCAUACGCACACCCAGGUCUUAGAGGCUAGAUCUCAGCAGAUUGGGCGGUUGUUGCAAGAAAAGGGCAUCAUCAGGGAAAGGGUUAGAAGAAUCGCCGACUACAUUGUGAUGAAGUGCAACGAGUGCGAGGACAUGACCAGGUCCAUGUUCUUCGCCACAGUAAUGAUCUUUGUUCGCCAGAUAAUGGAUGAUCUCUAUCGCCUCCAAGAUGACAUGGUGCGUAGGUCGCAACAAGACCAGUUGGUGUUCCUAGGGCAGGAUUGGAGGCACUGAUGUACUCUUGAUAUUUUCUCUUUUUCGAGUCUGUAUUUUCAUUCCUAAAGUAUGUUUCGAGUCUGUUUUAGUUUUAAAUUCUCAAGUAUGUAGGAUCGAGUCUUUGUAAUAGAGAAAAAUUGGAAGUCUUGUUUUAAUGAAAAUUUGAAAAAACCAAAAAUAUUUUAUUUAUUUCAUUUAUUCAUUGAACUAUGUGAUGAUCCGAUUCGCGUGGAAUCGUGAUACGUAGGCAAUCCCAUUCGGAUCCAGUCAUGGUUUUUAAAUAACUCAAAUAAAAAUGAAAAUGUUGAAAAGAGAAAACCAAAAAGAAAAAGCAAAAAUAAAAUAGAGAAAACAAGGAAAAGAGAAUGAGAACAAGAGAGAAAAUAAGAGUGCAAAAGAGAGCAAGAGAGAAGAUCGGGGAGAUAAACAAAAACUGGGAUGAGACAUACAGUCGGUGCAAAACAUGUAGAAACAUAUUUAACUGUAUAAGUGCAUCACACCCCUAUGUGCGAUUGCCUAUGUGCUAAUUGCUUCAAACUAACCGGUUUGUUGUCUACUGUUGAGUAUAGGUUCUAUUUUUAAGGUGGUUGGUUUGUGGUAACCUGGCUUCACACCCUUACUUUACAAGAUCCAAGGUUAGUGUAGAAAUGUCAUCAGGAGGUCAUCCACCAACAAUUCCCAUCCCAGAGGAUAGCCCGCUAUCGAUUAUCCCAACCUCAAAGUCAGCGGCUGCUGAAGAGAAUAGGGCACUGCACCUCCGCGUGCUGGAAAUGUGGGACGCUUGGUCCAAUGGUAGAGAGCCGCCAAGUGCCAUACCUGGUUUCCCCGAGCUACUUCCUAGAGCAAGUGGAAAUUCCAACGUCCCAAUAAGUUACCCAAAUACCCUACUCGGAUACCCCACCAUCUCAGCUCACUUCGCUGGAACACCUUCUGAGGUUCGCCCCCAGGUGAUUUCGGGAGUGGCCUCUAACAUAUUUACCGCACCACCAACUUCGGCUACGUCACAACCAGCUUUUUCCAGGCCAAGCUUUGAUCCAUCAUCCUUCACUUUCCAAGUACCAUCUUUUCCACCAGACCCUACCCAUUUCACCACCAAUUCUUACCCUUAACAACCACGGUACAAGUUUAAUGCGGGACAAGAGAAGGCUACAAAGAACCCCGAGCAAGAGUAAAUCACUCGAAAAAUAAGGAGCAUGGAAUAGAGCCUCAAGAAUAUACAAGGCUUGAGCGACCAAAAGAGCAUAUCCUACGCUGAUCUAUGUAUGUUCCCGCAUGUGCAUUUGCCCCUCAGUUUCAAGACCCCCAAGUUUGAAAAGUAUGACGGGCACGGGGACCCCAUAGCCCACCUCAAGAGGUAUUGCAAUCAAUUAAGAGGGGCAUGCGGAAAAGAAGAGCUCCUAAUGGCUUAUUUCGGAGAGAGUCUAGUUGGCAUUGCAUCUGAGUGGUACAUGGAUCAAGACAUGUCUCGCUGGCAUAUAUGGGAUGAUCUAGCUCGAGAUUUCAUCAGACAAUUCUAGUACAACAUAGACAUAGCUCCAGAUAGAAAUUCCCUCUCUAAUCUCAAAAAGAAUUCUUUGGAAAGUUUCUGAGAAUAUGCUGUUAAGUGGCGCGAACAAGCGGUCAGGGUGAAGCCCCCGAUGGAUGAUACCGUGAUGUUCAGUGUUUUUCUACAAGCCCAAGAAGCGGACUACUUUCAGAAUAUGAUGUCUGCAAUGGGAAAGCCGUUUGCUGAGGUUAUCAAAAUUGGGGAGAUGGUCGAAAAUGGUCUGAAAACAGGUCGUAUAUUGAGCCAAUCUUCUAUAAGAGCUAUGUCCCAAGCAAUCCAAAGCGGGUGAGGAGGCGUAGCAAACAAAAA
rnacentral:lncRNA from 1 species